rnacentral:lncRNA from 1 species
AAACAAGAGAACAAGAGACGGGAGAGAGCCCAGAGCUGAGCCGAGCUGCGGCCACAUCACAUCCAUGACCACAUCCACAUCCAUGACCACGGCUCCCCCGCGGAGAGGAGCCCUGAGGAGCUCUCCUUUGGGAACCAUAGCAAAGGCUACAAAAAGAGACAGGAUUCAGCGAAACCAAAAACUAACAUUCAACAGUUUGCCAGCCUAAAAUCAAACACGACAGAGUUCCCUGCAACAUGUCUGUGCAGUCCAACAGCCGUUCAACCUUAUUGCAAGAAACCCGCAGUGAUGAAGCAGUUCCUGGGUCAAGAUUGUCAUCUGCACAUACAAUGUCAACAUCUAAAAGUCUCUUUUCCAAAACUGGAACGGAAUCCCAGCUUGUGGUGCCAGAAAGCCCAGAAAAGGAUGAAGAAAAAA